rnacentral:rRNA from 1 species
UGCCAGCCGCCGCGGUAAAACCAGCACCUCAAGUGGUCAGGAUGAUUAUUGGGCCUAAAGCAUCCGUAGCCUGUUUUGUAAGUUUCCGGUUAAAUCCAUUAGCUCAACUAAUGGGCUGCCGAAAAUACUGCAAAACUAGGGAGUGGGAGAGGUAGACGGUACUCGGUAGGAAGGGGUAAAAUCCUUUGAUCUAUUGAUGACCACCUGUGGCGAAGGCGGUCUACCAGAACACGUUCGACGGUGAGGGAUUAAAGCUGGGGGAGCAAACCGGAUUAGAUA